rnacentral:rRNA from 1 species
UACGUAGGGUGCAAGCGUUGUCCGGAAUUAUUGGGCGUAAAGAGCUCGUAGGCGGUCUGUCGCGUCUGCUGUGAAAACUCGGGGCUUAACCCCGGGCCUGCAGUGGGUACGGGCAGACUAGAGUGCGGUAGGGGAGACUGGAAUUCCUGGUGUAGCGGUGAAAUGCGCAGAUAUCAGGAGGAACACCGGUGGCGAAGGCGGGUCUCUGGGCCGAUACUGACGCUGAGGAGCGAAAGCGUGGGGAGCGAACAGG